rnacentral:rRNA from 1 species
AUACGGAGGAUCCGAGCGUUAUCCGGAUUUAUUGGGUUUAAAGGGUGCGCAGGCGGCCAUUUAAGUCAGCGGUUAAAUCGUGGGGCUCAACCCCAUUCUGCCGUUGAUACUGGGUGGCUUGAUUGCGGUCGAGGUUGGCGGAAUUCGUUGUGUAGCGGGGAAAUGCAUAGAUAUGACGAAGAACACCGAUUGCGUAGGCAGCUGACCAGACCGCAAAUGACGCUCAUGCACGAAAGUGCGGGGAUCGAACAGGAUUAGAUACCCUGGUAGUCCGCACAGUAAACGAUGAAUACUUGUUUUCGGCGAUAUAAUGUCGGAGGCAAAGCGAAAGCGAUAAGUAUUCCACCUGGGGAGUACGCCGGCACCGGUGAAACUCAAAUGAAUUGACGGGG